UUUUCUUUCAUAAAAUAAAAUGGUAGUAAUUUUUCAUUUUUUUACUCCUGUCUAACAUAAAUUUCUUUUCGUCUCUUCAUUUCUAGAACUCAAAACCGCCAUGAACGAAGUUUGCCAUCGGGAAGAGUGCGCUACUAUCUUCACGGAUCCUCAGCCUCUCAAGAUCCCGCUCUGAUCCUCUAUCCUUUACCAAGCUCCGCAAUAAAAUAUUAACACCUAUAGUCUAUUACCUAAAACAGGAGAUUUUGAGCAUCCAAUAAGAGAAACUAAUCCUGAGGCCCUGAUGGAUCUGGAUGGAAGAAGUGGCGGAAGGUCAAGUCGAAGAACUCCACGCCCAAAUCACAGGAGUGGUCGCUCAGGUCAGCGGAGCAAUCGCUCCGGUCACAGAUGUCCUCGUACAGGUCGGAACACCAGAUCCAAGGCUCUUGUACAUGGUGAAGAAGGACAGGUUGUCAAAAAACAAGACAUGAGCCGAGAAUUACAGGAGGAGAGCAGUACCUAUGACGAGAGAAAUAAGACCCUUCUCACGGAUAAUAGCAUGGAUAAUAAUGAAAAAGUGAAAAAGGAUGAAAUCUUACCAGAGGAUAAACUUGCUGAAUAUGAACAAGGUGCCAUUGGUGGAGUAAGUUGUGAGAACGGUCAAGAGGAUGGAGCCAUAUGCCACAGUGCUACAGCAAGUGACAUAGUGGAAGAGUGCAACCAAAUGAUAGCUUUAAUGGGUGAUGCAGAUGAUGCUGAUGAUGCAGAUGAUGACGAUGAUGAUGAAGAUGAUAUUGAGGAUGAUGAUGAUGAAGAUGAUGAUGAGGACGAUGAUGAGGAUGAUGAUGAUGAAGACAACGAUUAUGAUGAUUACACCGAUGGGGACGGCGAUGAUGAACAGGAGAAAACGAUGAUGAAAAUAACGGCAGCAGAUCACCCCUCCUUUGUGUCGGAGCCAGCGGAACAAUCCCCAGCACAAUACCUCCUGCCUGCGUCUCAGUAGAUAUUGAUGAUGCUGAUAGUUUGCCUGAAAGAACGGGUGCGGAUAUCACAGCGGAUGUCGCCAAGUAUGGUAAAAUGUGGCUUGAUGUUGUGAAAAAGCGUAUUGACUCUUUGAAUGGGAGGUUACCGGGCACCAAAAGAUGUAUCAGUUUGCCCAUGUUCCGCAGCAGGACUCUCAGACAAAAAAGAUCAAGGUGACGGAGGGCCUUUUCCAUCGUCUCCUCUUUUUAUUUUGCCACCCUCACCCCCUCCUAGAUCUCCUUUCUCACUUCCUUCAGUGACAGAUGCAAAAGGAAUACAAGGUGCAACUCACAAAUCGGGUGUUCCUCAUGUAAAUGAAAAGAAAAGUCAGAGUCUCGAUGCAAUGUCAACUACUGUUACCAUUGAUGAAAGUGAGUUUUCCUCUUCACUGUUCUUUUUACAUUAAUUUUUAAAUAUGCUAUUCCACCUAAUUUAAAGAGAUUUAAAUCUACUCAGAUUUGAACCAAAAA
rnacentral:lncRNA from 1 species